GACGAACGCUGGCGGCGCGCUUAACACAUGCAAGUCGAACGGAAAGGCCUGCUUUCCCUUGUGGAUUGCGGGUACUCGCGUGGCGAACGGGUGAGUAACACGUGAGUGAUCUUCCCCCAACUUGGGUAUAAGCCUGGGAAACUGGGUCUAAUUCCCGAUAGGACUGCAGGGUGGUGCCUGUGGUGGAAAACGAUUUUCUAGUGGUUGGGGAUGAGCUCGCGGCCUAUCAGCUUGUUGGUGGGGUAAUGGCCUACCAAGGCGGCGACGGGUAGCCGGCCUGGGAUGGUGGACGGGCACAGUGGGACUGAGACACGGCCCAGACUCCUACGGGAGGCAGCAGUGGGGAAUAAUGCACAAUGGGCGGAAGCCUGAUGCCGCGACGCCGAGUGGGGGAUGACGGGCUUCGGGUUGUAAACUCCUUUCGACCGCGAGGAAGCCACCUGGUUGGAAGGGUGGUGACGGUAGUGGUAGAAGAAGCACCGGCUAACUACGUG
rnacentral:rRNA from 1 species